GGUUAAGCGACUAAGCGUACACGGUGGAUGCCCUGGCAGUCAGAGGCGAUGAAGGACGUGCUAAUCUGCGAAAAGCGUCGGUAAGGUGAUAUGAACCGUUAUAACCGGCGAUGUCCGAAUGGGGAAACCCAGUGUGAUUCGUCACACUAUCGUUAACUGAAUACAUAGGUUAACGAGGCGAACCGGGGGAACUGAAACAUCUAAGUACCCCGAGGAAAAGAAAUCAACCGAGAUUCCCCCAGUAGCGGCGAGCGAACGGGGAGCAGCCCAGAGUCUGAAUCAGCUUGUGUGUUAGUGGAACGGUCUGGAAAGUCCGACGGUACAGGGUGAUAGUCCCGUACACCAAAAUGCACAGGCUGUGAACUCGAAGAGUAGGGCGGGACACGUGGUAUCCUGUCUGAAUAUGGGGGGACCAUCCUCCAAGGCUAAAUACUCCUGACUGACCGAUAGUGAACCAGUACCGUGAGGGAAAGGCGAAAAGAACCCCGGCGAGGGGAGUGAAAAAGAACCUGAAACCGUGUACGUACAAGCAGUGGGAGCACCUUCGGGUGUGACUGCGUACCUUUUGUAUAAUGGGUCAGCGACUUAUAUUCUGUAGCAAGGUUAACCGUAUAGGGGAGCCGCAGGGAAACCGAGUCUUAACUGGGCGUUAAGUUGCAGGGUAUAGACCCGAAACCCGGUGAUCUAGCCAUGGGCAGGUUGAAGGUUGGGUAACACUAACUGGAGGACCGAACCGACUAAUGUUGAAAAAUUAGCGGAUGACUUGUGGCUGGGGGUGAAAGGCCAAUCAAACCGGGAGAUAGCUGGUUCUCCCCGAAAGCUAUUUAGGUAGCGCCUCGUGAACUCAUCUUCGGGGGUAGAGCACUGUUUCGGCUAGGGGGUCAUCCCGACUUACCAACCCGAUGCAAACUACGAAUACCGAAGAAUGUUAUCACGGGAGACACACGGCGGGUGCUAACGUCCGUCGUGAAGAGGGAAACAACCCAGACCGCCAGCUAAGGUCCCAAAGUCAUGGUUAAGUGGGAAACGAUGUGGGAAGGCACAGACAGCCAGGAUGUUGGCUUAGAAGCAGCCAUCAUUUAAAGAAAGCGUAAUAGCUCACUGGUCGAGUCGGCCUGCGCGGAAGAUGUAACGGGGCUAAACCAUGCACCGAAGCUGCGGCAGCGACACUAUGUGUUGUUGGGUAGGGGAGCGUUCUGUAAGCCUGCGAAGGUGUGCUGUGAGGCAUGCUGGAGGUAUCAGAAGUGCGAAUGCUGACAUAAGUAACGAUAAAGCGGGUGAAAAGCCCGCUCGCCGGAAGACCAAGGGUUCCUGUCCAACGUUAAUCGGGGCAGGGUGAGUCGACCCCUAAGGCGAGGCCGAAAGGCGUAGUCGAUGGGAAACAGGUUAAUAUUCCUGUACUUGGUGUUACUGCGAAGGGGGGACGGAGAAGGCUAUGUUAGCCGGGCGACGGUUGUCCCGGUUUAAGCAUGUAGGCUGAUUGUCCAGGCAAAUCCGGAUAAUCAAGGCUGAGGUGUGAUGACGAGGCACUACGGUGCUGAAGUAACAAAUGCCCUGCUUCCAGGAAAAGCCUCUAAGCAUCAGGUAACAUCAAAUCGUACCCCAAACCGACACAGGUGGUCAGGUAGAGAAUACCAAGGCGCUUGAGAGAACUCGGGUGAAGGAACUAGGCAAAAUGGUGCCGUAACUUCGGGAGAAGGCACGCUGGUGUGUAGGUGAAGCCCCUGCGGGUGGAGCUGAGACCAGUCGAAGAUACCAGCUGGCUGCAACUGUUUAUUAAAAACACAGCACUGUGCAAACACGAAAGUGGACGUAUACGGUGUGACGCCUGCCCGGUGCCGGAAGGUUAAUUGAUGGGGUUAUCCGUAAGGAGAAGCUCUUGAUCGAAGCCCCGGUAAACGGCGGCCGUAACUAUAACGGUCCUAAGGUAGCGAAAUUCCUUGUCGGGUAAGUUCCGACCUGCACGAAUGGCGUAAUGAUGGCCAGGCUGUCUCCACCCGAGACUCAGUGAAAUUGAACUCGCUGUGAAGAUGCAGUGUACCCGCGGCAAGACGGAAAGACCCCGUGAACCUUUACUAUAGCUUGACACUGAACAUUGAGCCUUGAUGUGUAGGAUAGGUGGGAGGCUUUGAAGCGUGGACGCCAGUCUGCGUGGAGCCAACCUUGAAAUACCACCCUUUAAUGUUUGAUGUUCUAACGUUGGCCCCUUACCGGGGUUGCGGACAGUGUCUGGUGGGUAGUUUGACUGGGGCGGUCUCCUCCCAAAGCGUAACGGAGGAGCACGAAGGUUAGCUAAUCCUGGUCGGACAUCAGGAGGUUAGUGCAAUGGCAUAAGCUAGCUUGACUGCGAGCGUGACGGCGCGAGCAGGUGCGAAAGCAGGUCAUAGUGAUCCGGUGGUUCUGAAUGGAAGGGCCAUCGCUCAACGGAUAAAAGGUACUCCGGGGAUAACAGGCUGAUACCGCCCAAGAGUUCAUAUCGACGGCGGUGUUUGGCACCUCGAUGUCGGCUCAUCACAUCCUGGGGCUGAAGUAGGUCCCAAGGGUAUGGCUGUUCGCCAUUUAAAGUGGUACGCGAGCUGGGUUUAGAACGUCGUGAGACAGUUCGGUCCCUAUCUGCCGUGGGCGCUGGAGAAUUGAGGGGGGCUGCUCCUAGUACGAGAGGACCGGAGUGGACGCAUCACUGGUGUUCGGGUUGUCAUGCCAAUGGCACUGCCCGGUAGCUAAAUGCGGAAGAGAUAAGUGCUGAAAGCAUCUAAGCACGAAACUUGCCCCGAGAUGAGUUCUCCCUGAGACUUUAAGUCUCCUGAAGGAACGUUGAAGACGACGACGUUGAUAGGCCGGGUGUGUAAGCGCAGCGAUGCGUUGAGCUAACCGGUACUAAUGAACCGUGAGGCUUAACCUU
rnacentral:rRNA from 1 species